GGCAGGCUUAACACAUGCAAGUCGAGCGGGCACUUUCGGGUGUCAGCGGCGGACGGGUGAGUAACGCGUGGGAACGUGCCCUCUGGUUCGGAAUAACUCAGGGAAACUUGAGCUAAUACCGGAUACGCCCUUUUUGGGGAAGGGCUUGCUGCCGGAGGAUCGGCCCGCGUCUGAUUAGCUAGUUGGUGGGGUAACGGCCUACCAAGGCGACGAUCAGUAGCUAGUCUGAGAGGAUGAUCAGCCACACUGGGACUGAGACACGGCCCAGACUCCUACGGGAGGCAGCAGUGGGGAAUAUUGGACAAUGGGGGCAACCCUGAUCCAGCCAUGCCGCGUGAGUGAUGAAGGCCUUAGGGUUGUAAAGCUCUUUUAUCCGGGACGAUAAUGACGGUACCGGAGGAAUAAGCCCCGGCUAACUUCGUGCCAGCAGCCGCGGUAAUACGAAGGGGGCUAGCGUUGCUCGGAAUCACUGGGCGUAAAGGGCGCGUAGGCGGCGUUUUAAGUUGGGGGUGAAAACCUGUGGCUCAACCACAGAAUUGCCUUCGAUACUGGGACGCUUGAGUGUGGUAGAGGUUGGUGGAACUGCGAGUGUAGAGGUGAAAUUC
rnacentral:rRNA from 1 species